GGGGAUUUAGCUCAGUGGUAGAGCGCUUGCCUAGCAAGCACAAGGCCCUGGGUUCCAACCCCAGCUCCG
rnacentral:tRNA from 1 species